AAUUCAACAAGAUGUGGGGCUCUGGCGAUUGUCAAGGCGAUUUUCAUGCAACGCUGACUUAGUCAAAAUUCCUUCAAUCUUCGUUCUAUCUUCAUCUUCCUCGUUUAAUUCAACUAGGGUUUCUUUGUUUCAAUUCAAUCCUUUAUGAUUAUCUGAAUAAUUUUAACUCUUAUCUGGUUUUGAUUCUUAUGAAUUGAUUUCGUAUUUCUCUUCUCUCUGUUUAUUUUUUAACCUAAUUUCACUUUUCUGAAAACCUAAAUCCUGAUGGUGUAGUCGAUUCUGAUUACUUGUUUGUUUAAUCCUUUUGAUUUGAACUAGUAUAAUAAAUAAUUCUAAUUUUUAAUUUUUGAUUCAUAUUAAUUUUUCUGACUUGAUUCAUCGUUACUAGUUUCUUAAUUUUCCCCCUUUUCGUUUUUUCAGAUUUGGUCAUGGACUGAAGGAGAUAGCAUACAUAGGGUUCUAGUGUUUUGCCAUCAUGAGAUUAAUGAACAAAAAGGAAUUUGGAGUUUUUUGUAGCGGAUUUUUCUGGAUAUGAUUCUAGAUUUCUUCAACAGGUUUAAUAUAUGGUUUCAGUCAGUUUAAGAUCAAGAAGUUUAGCAUAUUGGAUUGCUUUCUAGCAUCAUGAGCUCCUACUAAGAUUGUUUGGAUAAGGCAAUUGUUCUUGAACCUAUUCCACUGGCUACUUUUCCUCCUGGCCUUCGGUGAUGAAGAUUUUGAAAAGGAAUUUAAUCUCAUGAUGGUGGACUCUAUGGAUUCUAUGGAUGUUGAACCUUAUUCAGUCCAUGACCUUGUAAGUCUUUCUUAUUUUUUUGAUAUUUAUCACCUUGUUUCAUGUUUCCGAUUAUAUUUAAUUUUUCUUGAAUCAUGAAGUUUCUUAGUUGGAAUAUGAAUGGUUGUUGUUCUGAUAAAAAAUGGUUGCAUGUGUUGAAUAUCUAAAACAUUAGCCUGAUGUGAUUUUCCUAAUUGAAAUUAUGGUUGGCACAAAAACUGUGAAUAAAUAUAUUCACCACCUUCCUUAUGAUACUUGGUUCAUUGUGCUUUCCGUCGGUAAAUCUGGUGGUUUAGCAUUAGGUUACUUUGAGAAAUUAAAUAUCUCUGUUAUUAAUAGUUCUCUUAAUAUGAUUCAUAUUUUGUGUGAUAUAUCACCUUUGAUCA